ACGCUCGACACCUACGGGAGGCGGCAGUGGGGAAUAUUGCACAAUGGGGGAAACCCUGAUGCAGCGACGCCGCGUGAGUGAAGAAGUAUUUCGGUAUGUAAAGCUCUAUCAGCAGGGAAGAAAAUGACGGUACCUGACUAAGAAGCCCCGGCUAACUACGUGCUAGCAGCCGCGGUAAUCUGAGCGGGCUGGCAAGGC
rnacentral:rRNA from 1 species